UGUUUCGGCAAGGGGGUCAUCCCGACUUACCAACCCGAUGCAAACUGCGAAUACCGGAGAAUGUUAUCACGGGAGACACACGGCGGGUGCUAACGUCCGUCGUGAAGAGGGAAACAACCCAGACCGCCAGCUAAGGUCCCAAAGUCAUGGUUAAGUGGGAAACGAUGUGGGAAGGCCCAGACAGCCAGGAUGUUGGCUUAGAAGCAGCCAUCAUUUAAAGAAAGCGUAAUAGCUCACUGGUCGAGUCGGCCUGCGCGGAAGAUGUAACGGGGCUAAACCAUGCACCGAAGCUGCGGCAGCGACGCUUAUGCGUUGUUGGGUAGGGGAGCGUUCUGUAAGCCUGUGAAGGUGUGCUGUGAGGCAUGCUGGAGGUAUCAGAAGUGCGAAUGCUGACAUAAGUAACGAUAAAGCGGGUGAAAAGCCCGCUCGCCGGAAGACCAAGGGUUCCUGUCCAACGUUAAUCGGGGCAGGGUGAGUCGACCCCUAAGGCGAGGCCGAAAGGCGUAGUCGAUGGGAAACAGGUUAAUAUUCCUGUACUUGGUGUUACUGCGAAGGGGGGACGGAGAAGGCUAUGUUGGCCGGGCGACGGUUGUCCCGGUUUAAGCGUGUAGGCUGGUUUUCCAGGCAAAUCCGGAAAAUCAAGGCUGAGGCGUGAUGACGAGGCACUACGGUGCUGAAGCAACAAAUGCCCUGCUUCCAGGAAAAGCCUCUAAGCAUCAGGUAACAUCAAAUCGUACCCCAAACCGACACAGGUGGUCAGGUAGAGAAUACCAAGGCGCUUGAGAGAACUCGGGUGAAGGAACUAGGCAAAAUGGUGCCGUAACUUCGGGAGAAGGCACGCUGAUAUGUAGGUGAAGCGACUUGCUCGUGGAGCUGAAAUCAGUCGAAGAUACCAGCUGGCUGCAACUGUUUAUUAAAAACACAGCACUGUGCAAACACGAAAGUGGACGUAUACGGUGUGACGCCUGCCCGGUGCCGGAAGGUUAAUUGAUGGGGUCAGCGCAAGCGAAGCUCUUGAUCGAAGCCCCGGUAAACGGCGGCCGUAACUAUAACGGUCCUAAGGUAGCGAAAUUCCUUGUCGGGUAAGUUCCGACCUGCACGAAUGGCGUAAUGAUGGCCAGGCUGUCUCCACCCGAGACUCAGUGAAAUUGAACUCGCUGUGAAGAUGCAGUGUACCCGCGGCAAGACGGAAAGACCCCGUGAACCUUUACUAUAGCUUGACACUGAACAUUGAGCCUUGAUG
rnacentral:rRNA from 1 species